GCACUUGAAGAGAGAGUUAAAGAGGACGUGAAACCGAUGAGAUGGAAACGGACAGAGCUAGCGUAUCUGGCUUGCAUUCAGCUUAUGCGGUCGCUACCGAUGCGUCGCUGACCUCCAGAUUGGGGCUUUGACUAGUCGGUCGGUGGCUGUGUUGUGCAUUUGCAAGUGGAGUGCGUCGAGGCAUCUGGGAUGGCGGAAUGAACUUGGCUUUGAGGCCAGCUUGCUGGUACCCGGGCCUGGGGAUUUCUGUUCGUUCUAGGUGUUUUUGCGGUCGAACAAGGCUUUGCGAGCCUGGUUGGGUGCCGAGCUGGGUGUCGGUGGCGGUCGCAUGCGACACGUACUGUGCCACCAGUUCGGUCCUGGCCGAGCUCACUCCAUGUUCAAUCUCGGCGUAAAAGCUGGUCAUCUUUCCGACCCGUCUUGAAACACGGACCAAGGAGUUUAUCGUGUGCGCGAGUCAUUGGGCGUUGAAAACCCAAAGGCGCAAUGAAAGUAAAUGUAUCCGCUCGGAACUGAUGUGCGACCCUGGUCACUGCGGUGGCCAGGAGCAGCAUGGCCCCAUCCUGACUGCUUGCAGUGGGGUGGAGGAAGAGCGUACGCGAUGAGACCCGAAAGAUGGUGAACUAUUCCUGAGCAGGAUAAAGCCAGAGGAAACUCUGGUGGAAGUCCGAAGCGAUUCUGACGUGCAAAUCGAUCGUCUGACUU
rnacentral:rRNA from 1 species